rnacentral:lncRNA from 10 species
CAGAUGAGGAAAUCGAGGCCGCAGAGAAGGGACUUACCCAAACUUAAGCUUUGUGUGGGCCUUGGAGCUAGGCUGAAGGAGAAAGUGGAGUCUCACUGGGGGAUUCUUGAACCUCUGGUCUGAAUGAACAGCCGAUUGAUACAGCUCUCCACUGCAUGCAGCUUAGGAACCUCAGUCUCAGGUGACCCCACAGACUACCAGCACCCCCAGCUCCACCCUUGCUCUUCCCCGAGCGUGUCCUAACCCUAGCACUUGUGCCACAUCUAUCCAUUGGCCAAAAUGAGAACUGGGUGGCAGUUCCAGGCCCUUCUUUCAUGCCGAGGCUCUCCUGGCACUGGUGCACGCACACCUAAAGGGAGGCCUUUUCAUCAGACUUGCUCAGCCAGGAGCUCAGAGCCUUCCAUGUCACAUCCUGUGCUGGGACCCCUGUGCCAGAGGCUCAGCAGCUGUUCACUUGUUCAGCUCACUGCACUUACUGAGUGCUGCCUAUGAGUCAGGAACUGGCCAAGUUCUUAGGAUGCAACAGGGAAACAAACAGUAACUGGCAUGUCAAGAAUUAAAACAAGGUGAUGAGAUAAGAGAAUGACAAGGUAACCACAGAAGAUCUCUGAGGAGGUUGCACUUAAGAUGUGAUCCGAGUCCCACAAAGGAGCAUGCUGUCCUAAGAUCCGGUGGAAGAACUUUCCAGACAGAAGGAGCAGCUGAUGAAGGUGGCGGUGAUGAUGAAGCUGGUAGCACCAAAUAAAUGUGCUAGACCAGGGGUUGGCCAGCUUUUACUGUGAAGGGCUAGGCAGCAAACAUUUUAGGCUUUGCUGACCAUGUGGCUUUCUGUUUUUUUGUUUGUUUGAGAUGGAGUCUCACUCUGUCGCCCAGACUGGAGUGCGGUUGCACAAUCUCCACUCACUGCAACCUCUGCCUCCCGCGUUC